CAUUAGGUGACUGAAAGUAAGUGUAGGUCUUUUAAACCUAUAAUAGCACGUCCGCCCGCUUCUAAUGA
rnacentral:tRNA from 1 species